UACGUAGGGGGCUAGCGUUGUCCGGAUUUAUUGGGCGUAAAGAGCGUGUAGGCGGCCAGGUAGGUCUGGUGUGAAAACUCGAGGCUUAACCUCGGAGAUGUCAUCGGAAACCAUUGGCUAGAGUCCGGAAGAGGAGAGUGGAAUUCCUGGUGUAGCGGUGAAAUGCGCAGAUAUCAGGAAGAACACCAAUGGCGAAAGCAGCUCUCUGGGACGGUACUGACGCUGAGACGCGAAAGCGUGGGGAGCGAACAGG
rnacentral:rRNA from 1 species